UACGGAGGAUCCAAGCGUUAUCCGGAUUUAUUGGGUUUAAAGGGUGCGUAGGUGGGUGAAUAAGUCAGCGGUGAAAUCUCCGGGCUUAACUCGGAAACUGCCAUUGAUACUAUUCGUCUUGAAUAUCCUGGAGGUGAGCGGAAUAUGUCAUGUAGCGGUGAAAUGCUUAGAUAUGACAUAGAACACCUAUUGCGAAGGCAGCUCACUACGGGAUUAUUGACACUGAGGCACGAAAGCGUGGGGAUCAAACAGG
rnacentral:rRNA from 1 species